UUUAAAUGUAAAUAAAAAUUCUAAAUUAUUAUUAGUUAUAUUCUUUAAAGUUAAAGAUUUUGGCGGUAUUUUAGUCUUUUCAGAGGAACCUGUUCUAUAAUUGAUAACCCACGAUUAAUUUUACUUAUUUUAAUUAGUUUGUAUAUCAUCGUAGUUUGAAUAUUUUAUAAGAAUUUAAAUAUUCAAAAUUUUUAAUAAUAAAAAAAAUCAGAUCAAGGUGCAGUUUAUAAAUAAGUAGUAAUGGGUUACAAUAAUAUUAAUUAUGUUGGUGUAAAAUUUGAUAAAUUUUACUAAAUUGGAUUUGAAAGUAAUAAAAUUAAUUUAAAUUUUAUGAUUUAAGCUCUAAAAUAUGC
rnacentral:rRNA from 2 species